rnacentral:rRNA from 1 species
GUGUCAGCCGCCGCGGUAAGACGUAGGCUGCAAGCGUUGUCCGGAUUUAUUGGGCGUAAAGAGUUCGUAGGUGGUUUGUUAAGUCUGAUGUUAAAGACUGGGGUUCAACCUCGGAAAUGCAUUGGAUACUGACAGACUCGAGUGUGGUAGAGGCAAUCGGAAUUCCAGGUGUAGCGGUGAAAUGCGUAGAUAUCUGGAAGAACACCGGUGGCGCAAGCGGAUUGCUGGGCCAUAACUGACACUGAGGAACGAAAGCUAGGGUAGCGAAUGGGAUUAGAAACCCGGGUAGUCC